UGAAUCCAAAGUCUCGCAUCUUCAUAGAAAAUAGCUUACUUUCGCGUGGAUUUACCGUGUCGACAGUAUAGUAGAUACUUAUGAGAUUUAGGUAACUUUAUGUAUCUCCAUCGCUCGGUUUCUGCGCGCGCAUGCGCUGUGGGGGGCGCGUCGCGGUUGCGUGGUCAACGGUCAUCUCAUCAGAUUCGGUUAACUGUUGGACUUGGCGAUCAUAUAGAUAAUUUAGAUAUAGUUCAUAAAUUGUUGCUGAAUUUCUUGUACAUCUCUCAAGGCUUUUACAAUGAUCCACUGUACACCAGUGAGGGAAGGAAGUUUCUGUUGAUGAGGUCACUGUUCGAGCUUGUCUUGGCCAAUGAAUAUCUGGAGCUCACAGAUCCAAAGUUGCUUGGAUGGUUCCUAUGUUUAACAGCAGAGGACAGAACCUUAAUUAAAAAAGAGGGAGGGCUUCUGCCAUUUUUACAGAAACACCCGGCACUUCAAGUAGACAGACAGUAUGUGUGUGUGAAAUCAAAAACCAGCGGAAACUGCAUUCCCCCUCCAACAACUAUGUCAUCAAAUAAGUAAGGUUUUAAUUUUUUUUAAAUUAUAAUUUUUUUUUUUUUUUUUUUUUUUUUUUUUUUUUUUUGUUACCGUUCAGUUUUAUCAUCAUGCUUUAUUAAUGAUACAUUUUAUAAAUGGUGCUGUUGAUGCACUGAUACUGAAGUCGGCCUGAAAUGAAAAUUCAUACAUCAUUUCUGUUGGCCUGGUAAUCUUUAAUCAAAAUGUCAUCCAUAGGCAGAGCGUGAGUAAGGCUGGGGAAGCCUUCCUCUGGCCACGGGGACUUGGGGCAAAAAUGACACUAAAUUGGACAAAAAUGCCCCUGCACAAACAAAUUAAAUCUAUUACGUCUGUUGCUAACAAAGUGAAUAAUCCGUGUCAAUUGCGGCAUUAAAUUAAAAUCUUCUCGUGUUGCACCAAAUUUCAUUUUAGCCAUUUUUAAAGUGUUGCGCAUUUUAAACAAAUCACACUAGGGAUGCACUGAUGUAUCGACGGCCUGUAUUUAUCGGCCGUUUUUUCCUCAAUUUACAACCAUCGGCAUAUCGGGUAUAUAAGGAAAAAAGCCAAUAUAACAAACUGAUGGUUUAUUAAUUAACUGCAUGAUGGCACUGAUGUCUGCUGCAUAAUCCUAGCGCUGCUGUCUGCACUUUAAUGCUAAUCAAAUAACAAAAGACAAAAGAUUGCACACUAUUCUUGACUAAAUAACUUUUGUAACUUUCAUAAGUGUAGCGGACCUCAUCUGAAUGAUGAACAAAACUUUACUUAUGUUUUAAGUUUAUUGCAUCCUUUUUCACUCCAAAAAAAAUCACCAUAAGCUAAACAAAAUACAGCAAGACAAGUGCACAUUAAAGGGGUCAUAUGAUGCGAUUUCAAAUUUUCCUUUCUCUUUGGAGUGUUACAAGCUCUUGGUGAAUAAAAAAGAUCUGUGAAGUUGCA
ensembl:lncRNA